UUGAUAACAUUUGAGUGAGUGGCGGACGGGUGAGUAACACGUGGGUAACCUGCCCUAAAGUGGGGGAUAACAUUUGGAAACAGAUGCUAAUACCGCAUAAAACCUAGCACCGCAUGGUGCAAGGUUGAAAGAUGGUUUCGGCUAUCACUUUAGGAUGGACCCGCGGUGCAUUAGUUAGUUGGUGAGGUAAAGGCUCACCAAGACCGUGAUGCAUAGCCGACCUGAGAGGGUAAUCGGCCACACUGGGACUGAGACACGGCCCAGACUCCUACGGGAGGCAGCAGUAGGGAAUCUUCCACAAUGGACGAAAGUCUGAUGGAGCAACGCCGCGUGAGUGAAGAAGGUUU
rnacentral:rRNA from 2 species